GUCAAAGCAUCGGCCUGAACAAUGCUGCUCUGUUUACUUAGCCUUCUAUCUACAUUUGCUGGCUGCUGUGGAGAUGUCAUCACUCCUGUCCAAACGGAGGUCCAUGGGAAGAGUGGGGAUCAGAUAACACUGUCUUGCAACUACUCCCCAGCCCUUUCUUUGUAUUGGUAUCGUCAGUAUCCAAGAUCAAGACCAGACUUUAUUCUUCUGAUUCUACAAAACAACAGGGAGUCUGAAACCAUGGAGCCUGGAAUGUCCGUGAAAUUAAAUGAAAAGAAAACCUCUGUGGAUCUGGAUAUCUCCUCUGUGAAAGUAACAGACUCGGCAGUUUACUUCUGUGCAAUGAAGCCCACAGUGUGAGGAAACAUGGCAGCGCCGUACAAAAACCUAAAUCUGUCUUAACAAAGCCCAUUUAAGUACUGAAAAAUAUACUAAUACCAUAGAAACACUGCAUCACUGCACUGCA